rnacentral:rRNA from 1 species
CAGGGCGGCACUAGCGCGGUGGUCCCACCUGACCCCAUGCCGAACUCAGAAGUGAAACGCCGUAGCGCCGAUGGUAGUGUGGGGUCUCCCCAUGUGAGAGUAGGGAACUGCCAGGC